CUGACGGAGCGACAUCGCGUGACUGAUGAAGUCCUUCGGGACGUAAAGGUCUUUUAUCGGGGAGAAAAUCCGCCGCAAGGUGGAUGUGAUAGUACCCGAGGAAUAAGGGGUUGCUAAACUCGUGCCAGCAGCAGCGGUAAUACGAGUGCCCCAAGCGUUAUCCGGAAUUAUUGGGCGUAAAGGGUGAGUAGGCGGUCUGGUUAGUCUCUUGCUAAAGUCUUCGGCUUAACCGGGGAACUGCGAGGGAAACGGCCAAACUAGAGAGGGUGAGAGGUCUAGGGAACUCAUGGUGUAGGGGUGAAAUCCGUUGAUAUCAUGGGGAACACCAAAGGCGAAGGCACUAGACUGGCACCUGUCUGACGCUGAAUCACGAAAGCGUGGGGAUCAAACGGGAUUAGAUACCCCGGUAGUCCACGCCCUAAACGAUGAUCACUGGCUUUUCGGAGUAUCGACCCUCUGAGAGGCGAAGCUAACGCGUUAAGUGAUCCGCCUGGGAAGUACGGCCGCAAGGCUAAAACUCAAAAGAAUAGACGGGGACUUGCACAAGCAGUGGAUCAUGCGGUUCAAUUCGAUGGUAAACGAAGAACCUUACCAGGGUUAGAAAUCUAAACGAAGGUCAGCAGAAACGUUGG
rnacentral:rRNA from 1 species